AACUAGAGGCAGAGAAUCCGAUUGUAAACAAGAAGCGUAAGGUGCAGCUGAAGGAUGUCGAGCUCGAUCCGAAAAGACCUUCAACACAUACCGGAACAGCAUCACGAAAGAAGAAAAUGUAACCGUAUACCAUUCGCGAAUACCGUUUGAUGGAUUAGGCGAAGCAACAAUUAUAUACAGGAAACCUACGAUAAUUGAAAUAUAAAGCUAGGUUCCUAUUUCAAAACUGUACUUUGGUAAAUGAUAGCAUUUAAAUUAUUUGUUGAAUGCAGCUCUGUGAAAUAAAUUCUUAAUUCAGGAUCA